rnacentral:misc_RNA from 1 species
CGUAGUCGCUGCCGAGGUACGAAGGCUGCGAGCCUUUCGCAAUCAAAGGCUCGCAGCCUUCGUACCUCGGCAGCGACUACA